GGACCCCAUUGCAGGUUACAGCUGGGGGAAUUUAUCGCCAGAACGUUCUGCUGGAGCGGAACGCGCCGGGAUGCUCGGUCCGGUGGCGCAGAGGCAAGGGAGAGGGCGCAGCAGUUAUCCCAGCACCAGUUGUGAGUGGGACGUGGGGAGAACUCAGCCACUCUCUGCGCUGGCGGUUCAUGGUUCGAGAGGGGAUGGAGUUAGCAGACGCAGUUGACGGAAGCCUUGACCCAACCGCCAGAGGCUGGCACCAGACCCAGCUUGCUCGGUAAGAACUGCACUCCGGAAGUGGACCUUGGGAUCACACCAUGAGCCCCUCGGAGGAGCCCCUCGGAGGAGCACUGGCCACGUCCCUCCUGGAAGGGAAGAUCUCUGGACGGAGCGAGGAAGGCGGCUUGGGAGGACGUGAAAUCCAAACGUGAAUCCAAAGAGAAACUAUAUGGUAACCUGGACUCUGAGCGACAGUGAGAUCUCAUAGUUCUCUCCAGCACUGCAAAAUCUGCAAGUCGAAAGGGAAGGGCGACGGAGUCAGAGAAAUGGCCUGGCAGACUGUUCUUACCUGCCAUCCAGCCGCAUCCCGUGAGCUGGGCAAAACCCACCUUGGGCAACAGAAAGGAACUCAGAGCACAUGGAAGGGAGGCGUCUCAUGCUGCUCCCCGCGGGAUGGGGUGGGAAGACGGCGCUGGAAUGAACAAGAGCAAGAAGGCAGCAUGGAGUUGAUGAGAUGACCACUGGAGGAUUUCAGGAGAGGGGGUUUUCAGGAAGAGAAAACAGCAGCCAAAAAAGAGAACAGUGUCUCUCUCCAACUCUCCAGCUCUGCCUUUAGCAAAAACACCCACAGGCCACUCUGGUUUCAUCCACACUGAUGGGCAAGUUGCAUAUAGACCUAUGUUCUUCAUUUAUAGUCAAUCACUCCCACCCCAGGUACACACACACACACACACACACACACACACACACACACACACACACAAGCACACACACAUUCCUUCUGUCUAAGUUCCGUCCUCAGGUCCCCCUAUCCUGUUGAUCUUUCUUCACUUAAAAAUGAUCAGAAAAGAAUUUAUUCAUUUGGGAGAAUUCCAGGCACUACAUUUAUGUUCAGUUCAAAUGAAAUGGGAUCCAGGCUUUUCCAAACCUUGCCACUUUGCAGAUAAAACACAAAGGCAGGGCCUCAUUAUCUGGAGACAUAGCCUGCCCUUUUUUUUUCUUUUUUUCUCCCUACCUCUUGUUUCUCAGCCAUUUGAACCUGGUUUGCAAAAUCUCCUAACGGGGGCAGGACAUUUCUCACUACAUCGAUUUUUUUCCGGAGACUUUUUAGUCAUAAUACAUUUAUCUCCGAACAGAUGGAACAGUUUUACCCACGCUGGAAGAGACACUUUGAUUGUGAUUCCCCCAUAGGCUGAUCCUAAUCCUGUCAUUGUUAAAAACGCUUGGUCUCUGAGAGUCCUGUUUAUGCGCCAAGCGUCUUUAUUAAAUCAUAUUAACACAGUAAAGGAAAAAAUAAAACCCUAAUACAAUGAGUUGCUCUGUAUGAUCAACAGUUGCGUAGAAACCUGCUGAUAACUUACUUAUUCUGAAAUUUUGAGAGGUAAAAUUCCAGUCAGCCUCUAUGUUAGGCCAACUUUUUUUUCUUUUUUUUUUCAAAAUUCAACUCAGAGUGGGUUGCUGGUCCUGGCCAGGGAAAAACCUAGGUUUUUAUCACAGAAGUAGUUUCCAGCAAGAAGAAAAAUGUGAAACAUAGGCCUCUAUUCACCCAUAGAAAUGAAUACUUGGCAACACUGGUACGAUAAUAUGAUAAUAUGUUUUGACCCAUAGAAACACAGUGUACCCAUUUCUCCUAUCCCUCUUGGUCAACUCAAAGACCAAGUACCUUGAGUACUCCAGGGGUGGGCAGAUGCAAAGGGUUAAAAAAAUAGUCAAGAGAAGUUCUGUGUGACUGUGUUCGAUUUAUUUUUAUUUUAUUUUUAUCAAGUUGUUCACAACAAUCAAUUACAUUCAAUAUUUCAACACCAAUCCCACCAAUGUUACACCUUCCCACCACCAUAAUUUAGAAUUUUUUCACCACCGCUCAAGUUUUCCCCAAAGGCAGAAACUAAAUAAUUUAGUUUGUAUUAUUUGUUAUGAAUAGUCUACUAAAAAUGAUCUGAAAUGAUUUCUUUAGAGGAAAGUGUGAGAAAAUUGUAUCGCACCUUGGAGCCAUUAAGCCCCUAUAUAAGAUAUCAUUAACAUGUUGUUACAGAUUAAGCCUUGUUGCUAAUAUAUAU